rnacentral:rRNA from 1 species
GAUGAACGCUAGCGGCAGGCCUAACACAUGCAAGUCGAGGGGUAACUAGAGUGAUAGCAAUAUUACUUUGGCUUGACCGGCGCACGGGUGCGUAACACGUAUGCAACCUACCUUAUACUGGGGAAUAACUUCGAGAAAUCGGCGCUAAUACCCCAUAACAUUGCGAAGAGGCAUCUCUUUGCAAUUAAAGCUCCGGCGGUAUAAGAUGGGCAUGCGUCCAAUUAGCUAGUUGGUGAGGUAACGGCUCACCAAGGCUACGAUUGAUAGGGGUUCUGAGAGGAUGAUCCCCCACACUGGUACUGAGACACGGACCAGACUCCUACGGGAGGCAGCAGUGAGGAAUAUUGCGCAAUGGACGAAAGUCUGACGCAGCCAUGCCGCGUGCAGGAUGACGGCCCUAUGGGUUGUAAACUGCUUUUGUACGGGAAUAAACCCUUCUACGUGUAGGAGGCUGAAGGUACCGUAAGAAUAAGCACCGGCUAACUCCGUGCCAGCCGCCGCCGUAACAC